AUGCUACUCCCUUCGUUCGAAAUUACUUGUCGUAGAAAUGGAUGUAUCUGGAUGUAUUUUAAUUCUAGAUACAUCCAUAUUCAAGACAAGUAAUUCCGAACGAAGGGAGUAGAUC
rnacentral:pre_miRNA from 1 species